GGCAGGGACUCGCUGGACUGUGAGGAGAAGCAGUGUGUCCUCACCUUUCCACCUUCCUCUGGCCACAGCUUUAGCUGCUGAAUGAUAACAAGGCUGCCUGCCGAUCUCAUAAGAGGGCAUCUUGGGCAAGGCAAGGAGAAAGGGCUUUGGAGUCUUGAGUUCAAAUCCCGGCUCCCCCAGCUGCUGUGCAACCGUGAUGUAUGACAGCCUCUCUGGGCCUCAGUGUUUGUAUCUGCAAGAUGAGGCUCUGACAUAGACCUGAUUAGGUUAUGGUGAGGAUUACACAAUCCCUGCUUGAAAGGCACCUGGCUUGUUCUGAGUAAACCCUGUGACUCCCUUUAAUUCCUGGUGGGUGGCUUGCUUGUGCCCUCAUGAGGUUCAGCACUUGGCAGUACCCUGUCACCUGUUCAUCAUUAGCAAUGACGGACGCAAUGCUUCCUCUGUGACAAAGCCUCAUCCGACAGAGCAGGACUGCAGGGCUUCUCCAGGGCUUGGGGAGGGGGACAAGGGCAGUGCGCACAGUUCCUUUUUGUUUGCUGAUGCCACACUAGGCACGUGAAAGGGCUGGGUCAGAGAACCCAGCUUGGCCCACGCUGUCUCGGUUGGUGGCCGUCCUCACCUUCCUCACCCUUCAGAUCCCGUAGGGAGCCCCUGCGGUGGUGCCAUGGACGGGAAGCAUCCCACCGUGCUUGUGGCUCACCUCGAGGUCCAGGUGUCACUGCAUGGCCUGAAAAGGACUGUCUCCGAGCAGAACAAGCUCAUGACCAAGAACAAAGAGGACAUCUUGACCGUGUAAGUAAUGAUGACCGCUCUGUCCCCAGCUCAUAGGGACCCUGAGGACUCCAGGUUGCCUCCCUAUGUUGGCUCCUGAUUCAAGCAGAUGGCAGGGGGGUGUGUCCCAAGGAGCUGGGUGCUGAUGUCAGGAGCCCAGCACCCUUGUGGAAGCCAAGAACGACACUGAGGGGGCAAGAAGAGACUGUGAUGAGCUAAGUGAUGGUGUUGUCCCCAGCACGCAACAAGGGCUGGUGCGGCAACUGGCGACCUGAGAGGGAGGGCUGGUCCCAGCAGGGAGGUGUUCAUAGAAGGGAGAGAUUUUCGGUGAGGAGUGGCAGCACAGUCAUUCUCAACCCAGUGUGUCUUGGGAGAUGCCUAUGGGGUGGAAGUUGGAUGAUCAGGCUGUUAUUGGGUCAAUCUGAUUCAAGGAGAGGGAGGAGAGGUGACGUGGCCAGAAGGAGGGCAGGAGGGUGGACAGCAGAGAAUGCAGCCGGCCACCCGGGCCAUCCCCCUUGCCUCCACUCACUCAUCCUUUCCCACCCCUGGGCCGAGGAUGCGUCUCAUUAGGUAGUUUUCAGAUGGGUAAACUGAGGCAGGAGCCAUUCCAGGCCCAGAGAGGAGAGCCAGGAAGGCACGUGUUGUAAUCCCUGGGUUAGUUUUUCAUUCACACACAGGGGAACCUCUCCAGCCCUGCCACUCACUAGUUUUAAGAGGCUCAAGUGUUCUGAUUCCUGGCAGCAGCAACGUGGUAAUGCUUCUUUCUUGUUCCCUCCCUGAUCCCUUCUUCCCUCAUGCUUGAGGGCUUGGCCCCGCUUUUCUCCAUGUAUUUCCACCAGGGUGCCACACUGCCUGGAAUUGCAACCGCUGGGGCCUUGUCCAGUUUAUUAUCUCUCACCACAGGUGCAGGAAGGAGGCAGGGAGCAGGGCUGUGUCGCAGAGCAAGGCCAGGGCAUCCCACCCCACCAUGGCCGCCCAUCCCCAUGGCCUCCCUCAAGAUCAGGAAACUGCUCCACAUUGCAGUAACUAAGUGCACCAGGCGUGGCUGCUGGUGAGGGGUGGUCAGGCAGCACCUGUGGCCAGCCUAAAGGAAGGUCAAGGUUUGUGAAGGCAUCUGGUGCCUCCCCUGUUGAAAUUUCUUUUUCUCCUCCUUAUUAGUUGAAUCUUAAGAAUUGACAGUACCAUAAAACGUGAAACCUUUAUUUCUGCUUUUUAAAUGGAAAACCGGGCUGGGCACAGCGGCUCAUGCCUAUAAUCCCAGCACUUUGGGAGGCUGAGGUGGGCAGAUCGGCUGAGGUCAGGAGUUCAAGAUCAGCCUGGCCAACAUGGUGAAACCCCAUCUCUACUAAAAAUACAAAAAUUAGCCAGGCAUGGUGGCACAUGCCUGUAACCCCAGCUACUCAGGAGGCUGAGGCAGGAGAAUCGCUUAAACCCAGGAGGCGGAGGUUGCAGUGAGACGAGAUUGCGCCAUUGCACUCCAGCCUGGGUGGCAGAGUGAGACUCCACCUCAAAAAAAAGAAAAAAGGAAAACCAAGCAAAAGUCACUGUCAGGGGACCUCCCACCCACCAUACAGGGGAACACUCGGCAGAGCCAGAGGCCUGGGCCCAAGUCCUGCCACCAGCUGGCUGUGAAACUGUGGUACAGCACCUUGUGUCCUGCCACCAGCCGGCUGUGAAACUGGUACAGCACCUUGUCCUCAGGUCCUUGGUUUCCUCACUUGUAAAUUCAUGGUUCUCCAUGGCAUCUCUGGUCUUCAACAUUAUUUUGCAUAGAGUCUCAGAAGCUUUAGUGUGAGCGGAUGAUAUGGGCACGAAGCAAGGCACCCAGAAGUGGGGGCAACUACUCUGCUUUCUAAAAUGCAAGGGAACCGGAAAAUCCAGGAGCCGUGCCAAAUGAGAAGAGGAACAAAUGGAGGAACAUCCCAGUCAAGUGACAUUCCUAGUGACAUUCACCAGAACAGAGUCAAGCUUUGGAUCCCAUGUUCUGUGACUUCCUCUUCACCACGCUUCCUCCACACACGUAGCAGCUCAAGGGUUUCUGAUGAGUGGGAGGCUUGACUAGAAUUGAAUUCGAGACAAGCACAAAGAUCAUGAUGCAAAUGAAAGGGACAGAGGGGAGAGAAACAGAAAACAAGUCUAUGUUCCCUUUAUGAGCUGUAACGCACACCAUGAAGGUCUGCGGCUUGGCUAUUGAGUCAGUGAGAGCGUGAACCUACUAUUAGAAGAAAAACUCUGAAUACGUCUGAACGUCAGAAAGAACGAAGUUUGGACACAUUGUCUUUAAGAACUGUAACACUCACCCCAAGGGUUUAUGGAUUCAUUCUUGAAAUCAGUGAAACCAAAAGCUUUCCAAAGUUUAACACACAGGGAAAUGACUUACUGCAAAGAACCACUCUUCCCCACGAGACUUCGAGAAGACCCGCUGUCACGGACUGAGUUGUGUCCUCUUAAAAUUCAGAUGUUGGAGUCCAAACCCCCAGUAACUCAGAGUGUGAACGUAUUUGAAGAGGUCUUUAAAGAGGUGAUGAAGGUAAAAUGAAGUCACUAGGGUGGGCCCUAAUCCAACCUGACAGGUGUCCUCAUAAGUAGAGGAGAUGAGGACACAGACACAUGGAGGAAAGACCAUGUGGGGACACAGGGAGAAGAUGGCUGAGGGGAGAGGCCAGAGGAGAAACCAGCCCUGUCCAUGUGUUGACCUGGGACUUCCAGCCUCCAGCAUGGUGAGACGAUGCAUCUCUGGUUAAGCCCCAUCUGUGCAGUACUUUGUUAUGGCAGCCCUACUAGCACACCAGUAGGUCCAUUCAUAAAUGCCGUAUACUCGUUCUUGUGAUUUCCGUAACAGUCAUGGGUGACUGCCUUGUUUCCUGUGAUAAGGACACAGAGACCCUCCAAAUUACCAUUCUUUGUUUCUUAAAUGAUUAGCUGAACUAUUUGUCCCUCCAAACAAGCUAGAAACAGCUAGAUACUCCUUGUCCAGCUGAUUGACAGAUGCCUCCUGAUGACAUAAACAUGCCAACUGUAAAAUCACCCCCACCUGGAACUGGUUCACUCCUCCCUAUAAAAGUCUAGACAAAACCAACUGCCAGGACACUCAGGUUUUGGGAUCUGGGUGCUCUCCCGACUAUAAUAUAAUAACCUGAAUAAAGUCAGUUUGCUUACCGGCUUAGGUCUUUGUCUCUGACAAUUUGCCUCUGUGACGUGGAUGGGACUGGAAGUCCAUUUGGAGCCCUGUCUUCUCCACCUAGGGAGAGAGACCCCAUGAGCUCGUCAAGCUCCUUCUGUGACUGAUCAGAGAUCCCACCGUGAGUCCAGCUCCUGGUCCCAUGCUCUGGAUAUAUCGGUCCCUGGCAGCGUGAGUGCCUCUGUGUUCACUGUCCCAUUUGAGAAUUCUAAGUAGAAUUCUGAACAGGCUGGAGCAGAUUGCCCACCCCAAGGGACAGAUGUUGGCUGGUACUGUUGGUAUUCAUGGAAGAUUCCUUCUGACACUCCCUCCUUCUUUGUAAUUGCCAUGAACUGGAGCACUGGGCCAAUAUAAAUCAUCCAAGGGUGAACACGCUGCACAUGGACGGCUCCUCUUUGUUUUUGAAGGGAUUCCAUCUCUAUUUUGCCAUGUGCUCCUUCACCCCACUCCCCACCCCCGUCUUUCAUUUCUUUCUCUGGAAAAGAUACUUCAACUCACAGGACUGCGAUGUUGAAACGGACACCCAAGAGCAUCACAGAUGGGCCAGGCCUGGACCUCUCGGGACAACAUUCCUCACGACUUUUAGAUAGAAGAGAUUAGAGAUUUGGGACUGGUGGCAACUGGUAACGUUUUCAGUGUUUGGUAAACAGCCAGGGUCCGGAGCUCUGGGAACAGCCUGAUUUAGCUCUUUGUUUAAGUUUUGUGUUAGAGGCUCCCAAGAAGCUGAUGCAGGGGAAAGAAAUUAACAACCAUGGCUCAUUCACAGCCAGGCAGCCAAAUGGACAGCUCUAUAAGACUCAAGCCGACAGCGGAGAGAGUGCAACCAAACAGCCUUGGCCCAGCUUUCAGAGGAGAACGUUAUUCACCCCAACUGCUCUGCAUCUGCCUGGAUGUCUGCCAAGAUCUCAGUCUUCUUUCCACCAAUGACCCCUCGCGCUGCUUCCAGAAGCCAAGAAAGUGGGCUUUGUCCUUGGGGAUUUAGGAGGCGGAGCGGCGCCCCCUUGAGGCCACAUGGUGGAGGCAGCGAUGAGACCUGGAGUCUAAAAUUCAGACUGAAUCACAGGAAGAAGCUAUUUACACAAGUCAAACAUGGUCCAAUCUUGGCAAUUUCAUAAGGUUCCAAUCCUUAAGGGAUCAAAACCUGGCCAACUGCUUCCACCGAGAGGUGUGCCUUUCAAUGCCAGGCUUGGAGUGUCCCUCUUUAUUUAAAAAGGAGAGGAUUCCACAGCAGAGCUUCUCAAACUCUUCCACCCAAAUCCCCUCACCACAGAGGGACAGGAGUCCUGGGCAUGUAGCCUAAAGCAGCCAGGAGAAAAAAACCUUGACCUUAAUUUUUUUAAUGAUUUCACAUGAAUCAGUGGAAUGUGUUUAUGAUAAAAUCAUCUCCUCCUGAAAUACAUGUGUAAAACUGCUGCCCCAGUUAAACGCACUUAGUCUAACCAAGCCCUAGGAUUGGCCUCUCCAGCAUGAGAAGCAUUUCCAGCACUCCAGCUCCCCAGCUCCCACUCUGGGAUCCCACCUCAGACCCUCCCACUUCCUUGCACUCUGGCCUCUCGCUCUUGACCCUGCUCCCGCCACGCUCUUUCCUCAGAGUCCAUCAGUCCUGUCUUGUCUUCACCUUGGUCUCUGCCAAGUGUGGGUCCAAGUCAUAUAUUUGGGCUGUGAUCACAGGAACCCCAAGCCCCAGACCUCCCAAAGCACCCUAUGGAGAGACCUUACCCUCCUGGACAGACCCUCUCCCCCCAGCUAGACCUCAUCCUCUGGGUAGACCCAUCUCCCCAACCAGAACUCACCCUCCUGAGUAAACCCCAUCCCCCUAGCUAGACUUCAUCCUCCUGGACAGAUCCCAUCCCCCCAGCUAGACCUCACCCUCUUGGGUAGAUGCAUCUCCCCAACCAGAACUCUCCUGGGUAGACCCCUUCUACCCAGCUAGACCUGAUCCUCUGGACAGACCCCAUCAUCCCAGCUAGACUUCUCCCUCCUGGACUGUCCCCAUCCCCCCUCCAGCCAGACCUCACCCCUCUGGGUAGACCCCAUCCCCCCAACUAGACCUCACCCUCCUGGAUGGACUCUACCCUCCUGGAGAUACCUUCCCCUCCUGGGUACAUCCCACGUGGCUACACACUCCUUCCCCUGUCAGCUUUCUCCCCCAGGGUUCUGGGCAGCAGAGUCUGUGAUAAAGGAUACUAAGUGAUUCCCCAAUACUUCCCGUUUCCAGCCUCCAGUGGGCUCUCCCUGGGGCUAACGGUUCUUUUUGCUAUUUCUCCAGGCUUUGCCUGAUGACAAGUAUACUCUGAGAGUGUCCUAAUGAUACAGAUUUUGGACCCUAUCCCAGUUCUACUGAAUCCAAGUCUCUGGGGGAGGAGUUGGGGCUCUGCAUCUGGACACCUUCCUGCAGGGUCCCUCCUGGGAGGCAAGCCCGGGGAGCACCGCUGAGGCUCGCCUCAGUGCCCAUCCUAGACCUUCAGCAGCUAGCAGAGGAUGUCCCCACCAUCCCUCAGCCCACACUCCCACUGUCGCCCCAGCCAGGCUUGGCACUGCCUCCUUUCUCAGAAGAUUAAGACCAUCUGCUGUUUCCCAAGUUUCCCACCCUCCACCCUAAAAAUUUCUCCGUUUCCCAGUCUUUCCUCGUCUCUCAGAAAAUAAACAUCUUCCCAGGCUGCCUCCCCAGUGGGUCUGCACUCCUUGCUGUCUUCCCAGCACCUGCCCUUCCAGCCCGCCCUCUGUGUGUCCAGUGUUUCCCUCACCAAAGGACUCGCUUUGUUUUUCAAAUUGGAGGUUUUGUCUUCUCCCUAAAAACCAAAACAUCUCCCUGAGAAGUAACUCCCUCAAGCUACUGAUACGGAAGGGGGGCGGGGAAGUGCUGGGAAGGGAAGGGUGUGGUCCCUGGCUAGGGCUCCACCCCCGGGCCUGUGCCCACAGACCUAGGUGAGGACAGGCAUUUCUGUUUUCGUGCUUAAAUGUUGGAUUUCCCAAGACUACCCUGGCCUACCACACCCUCAUUCUGUGCCUGUAAAAAAACCUGAGAGCUUAGCAGGCACGCACACAAGCCUCUGGACGUCAAGAGGAACACACCGGUGUAAGAGCAGACUGAUAGUGGCCCACGGCAGGCUGGCAGGCCAUCGACAGGCAGAACCACUCAGUGCAGCUGGAGGACAGCCUGGCCACGGAGCGGUCCGACUUCAGAGGGGAAAACCACCUCCCCACUCCGUCUCCCUUCUGGCUCCCCCAUCUGAGAGCUACUUCCACUCAAUAAAACCUUGCACUCAUUCUCCAAGCCCAUGUGUGAUCUGAUUCUUUUGGUGCACGGAGGCAAGAAACCUCAGGAUACAGAAAGCCUCUGUCCUUGGAAUAAGGCAGGAGGUCUAACAGCUGACUAGGGAUGGCUCAACUGAAACAGCAUCCUGUAACACAGGCCCAUUGGGACCUCAGGAGCUGUAAACAUUCACCCUUAGACAUUGCUGUGGGGUUGGAGCCCCACCACCUGCCCAUCUGCAUGCUCCCCCUACAGGUUUGAGCAGCGGGGCACAGAAGAAGCCAGCCACACCUCCAUCGCAAGCCCUGCCACGGGGAUAAGGGAACUUUUCCCGUUUUGCCACCAGCUCAAGCCCCGCCUUCCUGUCACUCCACACUCUUCAUCUCUGUGUAUGGGUGUGGUCUUCCUCAGUUCCUUCUCUGGCCUCACACAGUGCCCUGAAUAAUGCUUUGCAAGGCCUUUGCCAGGAGCCUAGGUGAAAGGCAGAAGAGGUGCCCCUGCAGCAUCGCAAGGUAGAGAUCGUGGUUACAAGAUGGGGACUAGACUCCCAGUUUGCCCUUGGACUGGGCAGCCCCUUGGAUUUUGUUUUCCCUGACGUUGCUGUUCUGAUCCAAGGCCUUGUGGCCUCGCUACAGACACCCAAGGCCAGGCCUAUCUUUGCAUGAAUAACUAAAGAAAGCCUAGAGGAUGAGUAAAAUGACCACACUGUAUGGCUUUGGAGGACUGGAAGUUACUGAGGACUAUGAGUGGGUUUUUUGCAUAGACUGCAGUAAAGGUCCUCAGAAAAGACCCUCAAGAGCUAUGGGGGGGUCUGGUCAAAUGCCACUUCUAGACUGGACUCCAAAACUGGUGCUGAUUAUUUUCACUCCUACCCCACCCACCAGCCUGAUAGGCGAUUCCUGAAGUAGCAGUGGGGCGCUCAGUGGUGCUCACCAGGCCCAGAGCUCAGUCCUUCCCCCAUUCUGCCUGAUGGGGCUUGUGUAACCAAGGAUGACAGAUGGGACAAUCCCUGUUGGUAAAGACUGAGUUGAUUCUGACCAGGACCAGAGAUAAAACCCAGCACCUUUAUCUUUCCCCUUUGUACCUUCUUCAGAAAGACCUUCUUCUGCAGCAGUUCUGGAACUGUGAUCUGUGAGGUAUCUCACAGAAUCUCUGACCAAUGGAGAGCUAAUCAAAGACAAGUUUAAUAGGUGAAG
rnacentral:lncRNA from 1 species